GACGAACGCUGGCGGCGUGCUUAACACAUGCAAGUCGAACGGAAAGGCCCUGCUUUUGUGGGGUGCUCGAGUGGCGAACGGGUGAGUAACACGUGAGUCACCUGCCCUUUACUUUGGGAUAACUUCAGGAAACUGGGGCUAAUACCGGAUAGGAGCUCCUGCUGCAUGGUGGGGGUUGGAAAGUUUCGGCGGUUGGGGAUGGACUCGCGGCUUAUCAGCUUGUUGGUGGGGUAGUGGCUUACCCAGGCUUUGACGGGUAGCCGGCCUGGGAGGGUGACCGGCCACAUUGGGACUGAGGUACGGCCCAGACUCCUACGGGAGGCAGCAGUGGGGAAUAUUGCACAAUGGGCGGAAGCCUGAUGCAGCAACGCCGCGUGCGGGAUGACGGCCUUCGGGUUGUAAACCGCUUUCGCCUGUGACGAAGCGUGAGUGACGGUAAUGGGUAAAGAAGCACCGGCUAACUACGUG
rnacentral:rRNA from 1 species